UACGGAGGGUCCAAGCGUUAUCCGGAAUCAUUGGGUUUAAAGGGUCCGUAGGCGGCUUGGUAAGUCAGUGGUGAAAGCCCAUCGCUCAACGGUGGAACGGCCAUUGAUACUGCCAGACUUGAAUUAUUAGGAAGUAACUAGAAUAUGUAGUGUAGCGGUGAAAUGCUUAGAGAUUACAUGGAAUACCAAUUGCGAAGGCAGGUUACUACUAAUGGAUUGACGCUGAUGGACGAAAGCGUGGGUAGCGAACAGG
rnacentral:rRNA from 1 species